GUGCCAGCCGCCGCGGUAAUACGUAGGUGGCAAGCGUUGUCCGGAUUUACUGGGCGUAAAGGAUGCGUAGGCGGAUGUUUAAGUGAGAUGUGAAAUACCCGGGCUCAACUUGGGUGCUGCAUUUCAAACUGGAUAUCUAGAGUGCAGGAGAGGAAAGUGGAAUUCCUAGUGUAGCGGUGAAAUGCGUAGAGAUUAGGAAGAACAUCAGUGGCGAAGGCGACUUUCUGGACUGUAACUGACGCUGAGGCAUGAAAGCGUGGGGAGCAAACAGGAUUAGAAACCCGGGUAGUCCA
rnacentral:rRNA from 1 species